rnacentral:rRNA from 1 species
CCUACGGGAGGCAGCAGUAGGGAAUCUUUCACAAUGGGCGAAAGCCUGAUGGAGCAACGCCGCGUGCAGGAUGAAGGCCUUCGGGUUGUAAACUGCUUUUAUAAGCGAGAAAUAUGAUGGUAACUUAUGAAUAAGGAUCGGCUAACUACGUGCCAGAAGCCGCGGUCAUACGUAGGAUCCGAGCAUUAUCCGGAGUGACUGGGUGUAAAGAGUUGCGUAGGUGGCAUGAUAAGUAGCUAGUGAAAUCUGGUGGCUCAACCAUUCAGACUAUUAGCUAAACUGUUAAGCUCGAGACCGUUAGGGGUAACUGGAAUUUCUAGUGUAGGAGUGAAAUCCGUAGAUAUUAGAAGGAACACCAAUAGCGUAGGCAGGUUGCUGGGACGGUUCUGACACUAAGGCACGAAGGCGUAGGGAGCAAACGGGAUUAGAUACCCUAGUAGUC